AUGGCUGAUGCAACGCUGGCAGGGGGUCAACACGCCGCUUCCUUUCUGCAUUGUCAUGGCAGCCUGGCUGCGGAGAAGAUGAUGUUCCGUGGACGUGUUCGUGCCCGUUGCCAUCAUCGCCAUGAAUGCGACGAUUUAGAGCUCGCAAAGGGACGACGACUCGCAGCUUUGAUUUCCGCAAGGAGCCAGCGGCUGAGGGAGGGUCAGGCUUCAGUCAUCCAGAUCAAAUUAAUGGAGUUCAACCACUUUGAAAAAGGAGAUGCUUUACAUUCAAUGGACUUGGCUCUAGCUCUUGAAAAGCUGGUGAGUGAGAAGUUCACAACCUGCACACCUGGGUUUACAAAGUGGUAUGUACGGUGCACAUGCCUCCAAAGUUUGAAUCUUCUUCGGAAGUUGCAAUGGAUGAUGUUAUCAACAACUAAAGCAAUGUAUAUUCCAUCACAAUGCACGGGCACCUAUAGUCAAGAGGAGGCACUUGUAGAUAAAGUGAUAGGGGGUAGCAAGUAUGAGCAUGAUCUAACAAUGGACCAAUGUUGUUAG
rnacentral:rRNA from 1 species